rnacentral:rRNA from 1 species
UACGGAGGGUGCAAGCGUUAAUCGGAAUUACUGGGCGUAAAGCGUGCGUAGGUGGUUCGUUAAGUCCGUUGUGAAAGCCCCGAGCUCAACUUGGGAAUUGCAGUGGAUACUGGCGAGCUGGAGUGCGGUAGAGGAAGGUGGAAUUCCCGGUGUAGCGGUGAAAUGCGUAGAGAUGUGGAGGAACACCGAUGGCGAAGGCAGCCCCCCUGGGUUAACACUGACGCUCAGGCACGAAAGCGUGGGGAGCAAACAGG